rnacentral:rRNA from 1 species
AUGGCAGAGGAGAUUGCUGCCCUUGAGCGCACCAGCACAUGGGAUCUAGUUUCUCUUCCUCCCCGUGUUCGUCCCAUCAGUUGUAAGUGGGUAUAUAAUGUUAAGACUCGCUCUGAUGGUUCUCUUGAGCAUUAUAAAGCUCAUCUUGUGGCUCGUGGCUUUCAGCAGGAGCAUGGUCGUGAUUACGAUGAGAUGUUUGCUUCUGUGGCCCAUAUGACCACUAUUCGCACCCUUCUUGUUGUGGCCUCUGUUCGCCAUUGGUCCGUGUCCCAACUUGAUGUUAAGAAUGCCUUUCUUAAUGGUGAGUUGCGUGAGGAAGUUUAUAUGCAGCCACCACCUGGGUAUUCAGUUCCCGAUGGCAUGGUUUGUCGUCUUCGUCGCUCUCUCUAUGGCCUUAAGCAAGCCCCCCGUGCUUGGUUUGAGCGUUUUGCCUCUGUGGUCACUUCAGCUGGUUUUUUGCCCAGUGCUCAUGAUCCAGCGCUAUUUGUCCAUCUUUCUGCUCGUGGUCGCACUCUUCUUCUUCUAUAUGUUGAUGACAUGAUCAUCACUGGCGACGAUUCUGAGUACAUUGCCUUUGUCAAGGCCCGUCUCAGUGAGCAGUUUCUUAUGUCUAAUCUUGGUCCUCUUCGUUAUUUUCUCGGGAUUGAGGUAUCCUCCACCUCUAAUGGUUUCUUUAUUUCCCAAGAGAAGUAUAUCCGGCAUCUUCUUGCUCGUGCGACUCUUAGUGAUGAGCGCACUGUUGAUACUCCUAUGGAGCUCAAUGUUAACCUUCGCGCUUCUGAUGGUGAGCUCUUGUCAGAUCCGACGCGUUACCGUCAUCUUGUUGGAAGUCUUGUCUAUCUUGCUGUCACUCGUCCAGAUAUCUCUUAUCCUGUUCAUAUUCUGAGUCAGUUUGUUUCCGCUCCCACUUCAGUUCACUAUAGUCACCUUCUUUGUGUUCUAUGA